rnacentral:rRNA from 1 species
CGAAGGGAGCUAGCGUUGUUCGGAAUUACUGGGCGUAAAGGGCGCGUAGGCGGCUUCGAUAGUUGGGCGUGAAAUGCCUGGGCUCAACCCAGGAAUUGCGCUCAAUACUGUGAGGCUUGAGUGUGGGAGAGGAUAGUGGAAUUCCCAGUGUAGAGGUGAAAUUCGUAGAUAUUGGGAAGAACACCAGCGGCGAAGGCGGCUAUCUGGACCACAACUGACGCUGAGGCGCGAAAGCGUGGGGAGCAAACAGGAUUAGAUACCCUGGUAGUCCACGCUGUAAACUAUGUGUGCUUGACGUCGGGAGGCAUAGCCUUCCGGUGUCGCAGCUAACGCGGUAAGCACACCGCCUGGGGAGUACGGUCGCAAGAUUA